UUCUUCUGAGUGCUGGGAAUCCAUCAAUGGACAAAACAUUCUGUUCCAAGAUCCCUGCCUUCAUGACACUUGUAUCCCCGUGGAGUUCGGCAGGGAGGGUUAGGCAGCACUGAGGACUCCAAGCAGAAUGUAUUUGGAGAAAUCCAUUGCUCCAUGAAUAUACAUCUGUCAAUGCUGUGGCUUUAUUAUGUCGCGGUCAUCCUAUCCUGAGCUGCCAGGAGUGCUCAUGACCCAUGUGUGAAGCUCAGCUUCAAACCUUAGGGAAUAUGCCACAUGAAGAGUCCCAUGAGAGCCUGGGAGUCCAGAAAAUUUAAAUGCGUGAUUAUGGCUCGAGCUAAAGCCACUCAGGGGGAUCAUGCCGGAGGCCAUCUCAGAUCUCAGUCUGGCUCCGUCACCAAUUUCCAGUACAAUUUAGGUGAGUCACUUAAUCUGAGCUUCAGGCUCAUCAUUUCUAAAAUUAGGAAAUGUUUUUAGAUUCAUUUAUUCAUUCAAGAACUAUG